rnacentral:rRNA from 1 species
UACGGGGGGGGCAAGCGUUGUUCGGAAUUACUGGGCGUAAAGGGCUCGUAGGCGGCCAACUAAGUCAGACGUGAAAUCCCUCGGCUUAACCGGGGAACUGCGUCUGAUACUGGAUGGCUUGAGGUUGGGAGAGGGAUGCGGAAUUCCAGGUGUAGCGGUGAAAUCCGUUGAUCUAUAGAGUACCACCAAAAGGCGAAGGCAAUUGACUAUUCCAUUUCUGACGUUGAGGCAUGAAAGCGUGGGGAGCAAACCGG